GAUGAACGCUGGCGGCGUGCCUAACACAUGCAAGUCGAGCGUGAUUUAUGAGGACGAAACUUCGGUCUAGGAAUCAUAAUGAAAGCGGCGGACGGGUGAGUAACGCGUAGGCAACCUGCCCUUGACACAGGGAUAGCCUCGGGAAACCGGGAUUAAAACCUGAUAACGCCCAAGAGCCAAAUGGCUCUUGGGCCAAAGAUUUAUCGGUCAAGGAUGGGCCUGCGUCUGAUUAGUUAGUUGGUGGGGUAACGGCCUACCAAGACGACGAUCAGUAGCCGACCUGAGAGGGUGAUCGGCCACAUUGGAACUGAGACACGGUCCAAACUCCUACGGGAGGCAGCAGUGGGGAAUAUUGCACAAUGGGCGAAAGCCUGAUGCAGCAACGCCGCGUGAGCGAUGAAGGCCUUUGGGUCGUAAAGCUCUGUCCUUGGGGAAGAAACAAAUGACGGUACCCAAGGAGGAAGCCCCGGCUAACUACGUGCCAGCAGCCGCAGUAACAC
rnacentral:rRNA from 1 species